rnacentral:tRNA from 1 species
GGAGGGGUUCCCGAGCGGCCAAAGGGAGCAGACUGUAAAUCUGCCGGCGUAUGCCUACGGAGGUUCGAUCCCUCCCCCCUCCACCA